ensembl:lncRNA
GGCGGGGCUUGUGCGCGUCGGCCGCGUGUGGGCGCCGUCCGCGUUGGAGGCGGUCGCGCGCGGUUGGCUGCUGGUUGUGGGCGCGGCCGGGGUUCCGGAGGCGCGUGGGAGAGCGGAGGCUGUAGGGGCGCGUGGCGGGCGCUCGUGGUGUGCGGGUGGGAUGCUGGAGCUCGGAGAAGGGAGCGGUCGUGUCCCCCGGAGGCUUGAGUGAACUCGGGUAGCGUCACUUCGGGAGCUCGGUGCCUCAGCCGUGGACGAGAGCUGCCCCACGUGCCUGCGUCGCGCCGGCCGCGGAUGCUCGGAAGGCAGGGUUUAUGAUUUACUUGUGUGAAAUACCGGCUUCCUUGGUAGCUCAGCUGGCAAAGAAUCUGCCUGCAAUGAGGGAGACCCCAGUUGGAUUCUGGAGUUGGGAAGAUCCCCUAGAGAAGGGAUAGGCUACUCACUCCACUAUUCUUGGCCUUUCCUGGUGACUCAGCUUUUAAAGAAUCUGCCUGCAGUGCUGGAGACCAGGCUUCCAUCCCUGGGUUGGGAACAUCCUCUGGAGAAGGGAAAGGCUACCCACUCCAGUAUUCUGGCCUGGAGAAUUCUAGGGGAAUCGCAGAGAGUUGGACACGAAAUGUGUGAAAUGAAAACAUCUCCUGCGUUAUUAAUAAACAAGAAGUAUAAGAAACAAAGUGAAUGAGGAAACAGGAUUGGUUCCAGAUGGCUGAGGUGCUUAUGAAGGGAGUGAAUUCAGUGAUACCUGGUCUUUGAUGUUCAGACUUGCCUGCUCCUUUUGUUGCAAACUUGUGUAUAGCCUGACUUUCCCUCCUGCCUCUUGGGAGCAGUUGUCUGAGAGCUAUUGAGAUGCUGUCUCCUGGGCUGGGAGUCCGAAACAUCCCACCAAAUAAAAUAACUGUCUGCUUUCAGGGUGUGGCUAUAUGUUUUAGUCCACACUUGAAAGCGCAAAGAAAGUUAGCAUGCGUUCACGCAGAAUCAAGAGGUGGGAACGUUCUUGGCGGCCACUGAGGAAGUCUUGAAGAAUAGAGCCGUGAAGAAAGCAAAGCUGUAGAAAUGUUGGGUUUGAAUUGAAGUGUUUUCUUACAGUUUCUGGUACUAAACACUAAUAUGAUUUCUGAGUUGUAGAGUAUUUCCACC